rnacentral:rRNA from 1 species
CAUGUAGGCGGUUGUUUAAGUCUGAUGUGAAAGCCCUGGGCUCAACCCAGGAAGUGCAUUGGAUACUGGGCAACUUGAGUACGGGAGAGGAAAGUGGAAUUUCGAGUGUAGGGGUGAAAUCCGUAGAUAUUCGAAGGAACACCAGUGGCGAAGGCGGCUUUCUGGACCGAUACUGACGCUGAGAUGCGAAAGCGUGGGGAGCAAACA